rnacentral:misc_RNA from 1 species
UUAAGUUCAGCGGGUAUCCCUACCUGAUCCGAGGUCAACCAUAGAAAAUUGGGGGUUGCUGGCAAGCGUCCACCAGAGACUCAGAAGCGAGAUAAAAUUACUACGCGUAGAGCUCGAUGGCACCGCCACUAUUUAAGGCCAGCCGUCACCGGCAGGGCCCAAGACCAAGCAGAGCUUGAGGGUUGAAAUGACGCUCGAAC